GAACGCUGGCGGCGUGCUUAAUACAUGCAAGUCGAACGUGAAGCCUUGGCUUGCCAAGGUGGAAAGUGGCGAACGGGUGAGUAACACGUAAGUAAUCUACCUCUAAGUUUGGGAUAACCUUGCUAACGCGGGGCUAAUACCAAAUGUGGCCAUGGAAAUGCAUGUUUUUAUGGUUAAAGGUGCAAAUCGCUUAGAGAUGAGCUUGCGGCCCAUUAUGCUUGUUGGUAAGGUAACGGCUUACCAAGGCUGCGAUGGGUAGCCGGCCUGAGAGGGUGAACGGCCACAUUGGGACUGAGAUACGGCCCAGACUCCUACGGGAGGCAGCUUAGGGAAUUUUGCGCAAUGGGCGAAAGCCUGACGCAGCAACGCCGCGUGAAGGAUGAAGGUUCUCGGAUUGUAAACUUCUGUUAAGUGGGAAGAAAAGCCUUCGGGUAUGACGGUACCACUUGAGUAAGCACCGGCUAACUACGUGCCAGCAGCCGCGGUAAUACGUAGGGUGCAAGCGUUGUUCGGAAUUACUGGGCGUAAAGGGAGUGUAGGCGGAAUUAUAAGUUAGAAGUUUAAUUUACGGGCUCAACCCGUGAACUGCUUUUAAUACUGUAGUUCUAGAGUAUGGGGGAGGGUGAUGGAAUUCCAGGUGUAGCGGUGGAAUGCGUAAAUAUCUGGAAGAACACCAGUUGCGAAGGCGGUCGCCUGGCCCAAUACUGACGCUGAGGCUCGAAAGCUAGGGGAGCGAACAGGAUUAGAUACCCUGGUAGUCCUAGCCGUAAACGAUGGACACUAGUUGCUGGAGGAGUCAAUCUUUUCAGUGACGAAGCUAACGCAUUAAGUGUCCCGCCUGGGAAGUACGCCCGCAAGGGUGAAACUCAAAGGAAUUGACGGGGGCCCGCACAAGCGGUGGAGUAUGUGCUUUAAUUCGAUACAACGCGAAGAACCUUACCUGGGUUUGACAUGGGGGUGCAAGUUUCCAGAGAUGGAUUCCCUUCCGCAAGGAACGCCCCACACAGGUGCUGCAUGGUUGUCGUCAGCUCGUGUCGUGAGAUGUUGGGUUAAGUCCCGCAACGAGCGCAACCCUCGCCCUUAGUUGCCAUCAGGUCAUGCUGGGAACUCUAAGGGGACCGCCUAGUUUAACUAGGAGGAAGGUGGGGAUGACGUCAAAUCAUCAUGGCCCUUACGCCCAGGGCUAGACACGUACUACAAUGGUCGGUACAGCGGGAUGCAAGACGGUGACGUUUAGCUAAUCCCUUAAAACCGAUCUCAGUCCGGAUUGAAGUCUGCAAUUCGACUUCAUGAAGUUGGAAUCGCUAGUAAUCGCGGAUCAGCAUGCCGCGGUGAAUACGUUCCCGGGCCUUGUACACACCGCCCGUCAAGCCAUGAAAGAUGGCAGUGCCCGAAGUCGCUUCUCUAGCCGCAAGGAAGGGUGCGCCUAAGGUAAGGCUGUUGAUUGGGGCUAAGUCGGAACAAGGUA
rnacentral:rRNA from 1 species